rnacentral:rRNA from 1 species
GACGAACGCUGGCGGCGUGCCUAAUACAUGCAAGUAGGACGCAGUUGCGAACGGGUGAGUAACGCGUAGGUAACUGUCUCUUAGCGGGGGAUAACUAUUGGAAACGAUAGCUAAUACCGCCUACUAGUAGAUGGACCUGCGUUGUAUUAGCCAGUAGGUAGGGUAAUGGCCUCCCUAGGCUACGAUACAUAGCCGACCUGUGAGGGUGAUGGGCCACGCUGUGUCUGGGAUCAGGGCCAGAAUCCUACCGGAGGCAGCAAUAGGGACUCUGCGGCAAUGGGGGGAACCCUGACCGAGCCACGCCGCGUGAGUAAAGAAGGUUUUCGGAUCGUAAAGCUCUGUUGUUAAGGAAGCGGUACUUAACCAGAAAGGGACGGCUAACUACGUGCCAGCAGCCGCGGUAAUAC